AACGAACGCUGGCGGCGCGUCUUAAGCAUGCAAGUCGAGCGGCAAGGCGGGGUAACCCGCCCUAGAGCGGCGGACUGGUGAGUAACACGUGGGUGAUCUACCCUUAGGUUGGGGAUAGCCAUUAGAAAUAGUGGGUAAUACCGAAUGUGGUUUUCGGGUUUUGACCUGGAAAAGAAAGGAGCUACGGCUCCGCCUGAGGAUGAGCCCGCGUCCCAUUAGCUAGUUGGGGGUGUAACGGACCACCAAGGCGAUGAUGGGGUAGCCGGCCUGAGAGGGUGAACGGCCACACUGGGACUGAGAUACGGCCCAGACUCCUACGGGAGGCAG
rnacentral:rRNA from 1 species